AAACAUGGCUGUUCUCUUCAGAGGAGGAGCUCGGGGCCUCGCUGUCCCUGGGAAUGGCUGGUGUUCUCGUCAGGGGAGCUCUGAUCUUCACCUCUUGCACAGGUGAGUCCAAGCAGGACGAGUGAUGACAGGGAAGGUAACUGUGAAAGGACCGAAGGAAUAUCCUCCGGCUCAACCCUGGCUGCAGAAUGAAGGGGUGCUCAGAAGAAGGGUGGGGCUCGCUCUUGAUCAGCUCCCUGUUCCUGACCAAAUGCGGGCACAGAGCGUGCAGGACCAUGGCCCUCUGCUCUUCUUUUCCUGUUUGCUCAUAUCAUCUUCUACAGAUGAAGUCAGGGAGAUUAUGAUAAAAGGACCCUUCUGUCCAACUAAGAAGGUUCAGAGGACCACGGGAAGAACAGAUCUGAGAGGUCUCGUAGCAGGUUCACACAGACUCUUAAUAGGUCAGCAAGGUGCAGAGAAAAAUAGCCUGGACCUGCACAGAAGAGCUGACACCAAGCAAGCAACUGGCUGCAUCCACUGAAUUGUUGAAGGAGAGAAAACAGGAAGGACAGAGAUAUGAGUAACAAAGUAUCUACUAAAAAUGAGUAAGAGACAAGAAGAAACAUCGCCAUCGUGCAGAGGGAAAGAAUGCCUAAACCGGUGCACUCUUCAUGGGAGGAUUCAAAUGAAAACCAAGGACAGCUUCUAUUUAUCAGACUUGAUAAGCAGUUGAAGAUACGUUUCAUAUAUGGCCGGUGGCAGUGCAAUUUGUUCCAGCUCCCAUGGAAAAAUAAGGUUCUGUCUUACCAAAAAUGAAGGGCCAGGGAUUUAACUCAGUGGUUCCAGCACCUGCCUUGCAAGCACAAGGUUCCAAGUUCAAUCCCCAGUACCAAAAAAAAAUAAAAAUAAAAAUAAAAGUUCACAUACUCUUUGACUAAAACAGCUACUGUUGAUAAACUCACCACUGAUUCAAUGAGGCAUGAACAUGAUUAUUUACUAGCAUGUGGUUUGUCAUGGGAAUAGAGACAUUCCC
rnacentral:lncRNA from 1 species